rnacentral:tRNA from 1 species
GGUUCCAUAGUGUAGCGGUUAGCACAUCUGCUUUACAUGCAGAAGGUCCUGGGUUUGUGCCCCAGUGAAGCCA